rnacentral:rRNA from 1 species
ACGGGGGCCCGCACAAGCGGCGGAGCAUGCGGAUUAAUUCGAUGCAACGCGAAAACCUUACUACCCUUGACAUGUCCGGAAUCCCGAAGAGAUUUGGGAGUGCUCGCAAGAGAACCGGAACACAGGUGCUGCAUGGCUGUCGUCAGCUCGUGUCGUGAGAUGUUGGGUUAAGUCCCGCAACGAGCGCAACCCUUGUCAUUAGUUGCCAUCAUUUGGUUGGGCACUCUAAUGAGACUGCCGGUGACAAACCGGAGGAAGGUGGGGAUGACGUCAAGUCCUCAUGGCCCUUAUGGGUAGGGCUUCACACGUCAUACAAUGGUCGGUACAGAGGGUUGCCAACCCGCGAGGGGGAGCUAAUCCCACAAAGCCGAUCGUAGUCCGGAUCGCAGUCUGCAACUCGACUGCGUGAAGUCGGAAUCGCUAGUAAUCGUGGAUCAGCAUGUCACGGUGAAUACGUUCCCGGGUCUU